rnacentral:lncRNA from 1 species
UUCCUUAAUAUAAAGUGAGUAUAUAUGUAAUACAAGGUCACUACACUAUCCUUUUGUAAUUGAGAAGUAUAGUACAUGCUCUAUUAUCUUAUAUUCAUUCCUGCAUCUAUAGCAUACUAGUGCCAUUAACAACACUCACUGGCAUGUUUCUUUAGUUAAGGGUAUCUACAUGUCCACAUGAUUCAUAAGGGUAAACAAAGCUUUAAAAUAUGCAAGAAAUGACUUAGUAAUGUAUUUAUUCUUUAU